UGGUUCACAACUCCUAAUGGUUCACAACAAGUGCAACACCAACUAAAUGGUUCACAACUCGAAAUGGUUCACAAUAAAAGUAAAUGGUUCACAACACAAGUGCAACACCAACAAGUGCAAAUGCUUCACAACUCCAAAUGGCUCCGGUUCACAUCUUGGGGCCUCGUCCCCUCUUAGAAACUAGCUUCUUUCUUCUCGC
rnacentral:lncRNA from 1 species